AUUUAAAUUAAUAAAUACUUGUUACCUAUAUAGUUUGGUUUUUGGAAGUUAUGAGUGGUUGUCCUUAAACUUUUUUGCAAAACAUUUUUGUAAAUGUUUGUUUUUGUCUCCUUACUCCAAGAUACCUAUUGCUGCUUUCUUCAACCCUGAUUUUCCUCUUCACCCCUCAGAAACUGAUUCUUUUUGGAGAACCUUGUUUUCUGCAAAAGAAUAGGAUGUAUUAUCAUCUUAAGGACAGUAAUAGUCUCCACCAUCUGACGGAUGAGUCAUCUGAGGUUGCUUCAAGCUCAGGUUUUCUUCAGGAUGACACACAAUGCUACCAUCAUGUCACUGUAACAGGCAGUUAACUCUUAUUUUCUAUUGUCAUUGGCAAAGAAGAAAGUUAAUAUAAACAUUUGUUAGGGAAAUUUCUCAUAUCUUUCAACUGAAUUUAUUUCCUUUUUACCUGCGAUGUUUGAUGCAUUUCCACUUCAUUGUGUUUCUUCUGAAUAUUUGUGGAGUUUCAUGAGUAAACAAAGCCUAAAUAUUAACCAUAUGGCAGAAAUACCUUAUGGUUGUUUUGUGUUAAGACCGUUUUGAUUUUUCUCAGCGGGUAUAGUAGUAUGUAAAUAUUCGUCAAGGUUUUUGCUUAUACUUGUCACUCUCAGAUGUAAAACCAUAUUUUAUUAGGAUUUUUAGUACAAUGCUGAAAUAUGGGUGCUUUUGGUUUAGAUGAGUGUGCAAAGGUAAUUGUUACAAUUUCACUGAGCUACGUUGGGUGGGAACACUGCAAUGAUAGGUAGAACAGAAAGGAAGCUGGAGCUCAGCAGGAAAGUAGAAUUCUAGUUGGGGCUCAGCCCAUGGCUGUGUGUAACAUAAGUUAGUCAGAGGAAGAUCUUUAUGCUUCUGGGAAACAUGGAAACUAACUUUAUAAAUGAGUUUUUCAAAGAACUUGUUCUGUUUGUUCUCUGUGAAAUACUACUUUUUCUGAAACUCCAAAUGAAUUGAGUCUCUAUGAAAAAAAUCAUCCUGAGAACAAAAUACUAAUUGUUCAGAGAAAGGUGUCAACAAGCAGCUUAUGGGUUUGUCUCAAUACUGAUACCAGGUCCCCUAAUUAUAUGUAUGCAAAUGCAAUAAAUGAUACUAAGUGUUUCAGAGGCAUCAGUCAGUUUUCAAGAAUCUCUUGGAUUUUACAUAUAAGCUUAAUCUAUUGUACACAGCUUUGCAGAAAAAUAGAUACAAUAUAUUUGAUUUGACUAAACUGCA